CAGUAGUCAGCACUUCUGUGUUGACUUGAGUUAUCAUUGAUAUGUUCAUAAUAAUAAAUUAACUGUUAACAAAACUUUGAAUUUUUGAAUUACUUAGGCUUUUCUACCUCAGGAAUAGAUUACCUUAGCUGUAUUUGGCAAAACUUUUAGGAAUUUUUGGUCCUCAAUGCUCUUCAACUUCGUAUUUUAUUUGGCCUUUAUUUAUAUUUUUUAUUCGAGCGUUACUGAUGAGUCUUUUGUAGACGCGCGUCUGGCGUAAGUGUAAAAUUUAAGUCCUGGUAUCUAUGAUGAGUUUAUU
rnacentral:lncRNA from 1 species